UACGUAGGGCGCGAGCGUUGUCCGGAUUUAUUGGGCGUAAAGGGCUCGUAGGCGGUUUGUCGCGUCGGUCGUGGAAUCCUGCAGCUUAACUGUGGUGGUGCGGUCGAUACGGGCAGACUUGAGGUCGGUUGGGGCAAGUGGAAUUCCCGGUGUAGCGGUGAAAUGCGCAGAGAUCGGGAGGAACACCGAUGGCGAAGGCAGCUUGCUGGGCCGGUCCUGACGCUGAGGAGCGAAAGCGUGGGUAGCGAACAGG
rnacentral:rRNA from 1 species